GGUAAAAUAUAGAAGAAGGAAAAGUUGUACCCUGUACAACACCUGUCUCUCUCUCCCUUCCUCUGGCACCAGAUAGCAGUAGUAAUCAAGGGAUUGGGUUUUUUUCAAAGGAUGGGAGCCUUCCUCAUCCAUCUCCUGACCAUGAGGAAAAGAGAAGGAAUCCUUUCUUUUACUAGAGAGAUAUAUCUGUUUUUCUUACCACAAGAAACAAAGCAAGAACAUAUGCUUGGAAACCAAAUCUCACCAUCUCAACUGUUGAUAUUCUUCCUGCUUGCAACAGCAUCCAAAGUCCCAGAAAUUUCUUCAGGAGUAAGGAUGACAGCUUCAAACAGGCCUACUGUUGAAUCCUUGUUUCUACUGCUUCUGAGAAAGGUUUUUCAGGGCAGACAUUGAUUUUCCAUGUGCUUUCUGGAAACUAUCAGGCACGAUUCAGCUACUUAAGAUAGAGUAACAAUAAGAAAAUGUACUGUAAACAAAACAGAGAGCAUGCCACAAUGGGAUGCCUGACGCGUUUCGGCAUGGGGAUCUUCUGCACACUCCAACCAAGAUGUUUUUGCUUCUUGCAAGUCCAGUGAAUCAUUCAUACUGUAGAGGAGUAAUUUAAUUUCUCAAACAAUAACAUAAAGCAAUAUUUACUGAAAUAAUGGCUAGUAAAAUUCUUAAAAAACAA